UACAGAGGGUGCGAGCGUUGUCCGGAAUCACUGGGCGUAAAGGGCGCGUAGGCGGCUUUUCAAGCGUGCGGUGAAAGCUCGGGGCUUAACUCCGAGUCUGCCGUGCGAACUGGGAGGCUUGAGUCUGGUAGAGGUCGAUGGAAUUCCGGGUGUAGCGGUGGAAUGCGUAGAGAUCCGGAAGAACACCGGUGGCGAAGGCGGUCGACUGGGCCAGAACUGACGCUGAGGUGCGAAAGCGUGGGGAGCAAACAGG
rnacentral:rRNA from 1 species